rnacentral:rRNA from 1 species
UGGGGGAAUAUUGGACAAUGGGCGCAAGCCUGAUCCAGCCAUGCCGCGUGAGUGAUGAAGGCCCUAGGGUUGUAAAGCUCUUUCACCGGUGAAGAUAAUGACGGUAACCGGAGAAGAAGCCCCGGCUAACUUCGUGCCAGCAGCCGCGGUAAUACGAAGGGGGCUAGCGUUGUUCGGAAUUACUGGGCGUAAAGCGCACGUAGGCGGACAUUUAAGUCAGGGGUGAAAUCCCGGGGGCUCAACCCCGGAACUGCCUCUGAUACUGGGUGUCUAGAGUUCGAGAGAGGUGAGUGGAAUUCCGAGUGUAGAGGUGAAAUUCGUAGAUAUUCGGAGGAACACCAGUGGCGAAGGCGGCUCACUGGCUCGAUACUGACGCUGAGGUGCGAAAGCGUGGGGAGCAAAACAGGAUUAGAUACCCUGGUAGUCCACGCCGUAAACGAUGGAAGCCAGCUGUCGGCAAGUUUACUUGUCGGUGGCGCAGCUAACGCAUUAAGCUU